UUUUUUUUUUUUUUUUUUUUUUUUUUUUUUCCAAGACAGAGUCUCACUCUGUCACCCAGGCUGGUGUGAAGUGGUACAAUCUCAGCUCACUGCAGCCUCUGCCUCCCGGGUUCAAGUGAUUCUCCUGUCUCAGCCUCCCAAGUAGUUGGGAUUACAGUUGCCUGCCACCAUGCCUGGCUAAUUUUUGUAUUUUUAGUAGAGAGGGGAUUUCACCAUGUUGGCCAGGCUGGCCUUGAAGUCCUGACUUCAGAUAAUCUGCCUGUCUCAGCUUCCCAAAGUGCUGGGAUUACAGGCGUGAGCCACUGUGCCCAGCUGAGAUCUGAUGGUUUUAAAAAGAGGAGCUCCCCUGCAUGAGAUCUCACUUUUUGCCUGCUACCAUUUAUGUAAGAUGUGACUUGCUCCUUCUUGCCUUCCAUCAUGACUGUGAAGCUUCCCCAGCCAUAUGGAAUUGUAAGUUCAAUUAAACUUCUUUUCUUUGUAAAUUACCCAGUCUCGGGUAUGUCUUUAUCGGCAGCAUGAAAACGGACUAAUACAGUAAAUUGGUACCAGGAGUGGGAUGUUCUGAAAAGAUAUCUGAAAAUGUGGAAACGACUUUGGAACUGGGUAAUAGGCAGAGGUUGGAACAGUUUUGAGGGCUCAGAAAAAGACAGGAAAAUGUGGAAAAGCUUGGAACUUUCUAGAGACUUGUUGAAUGGCUUUGCCAAAAAUGCUGAUAAUGAUAUGGACAAUAAGACCCAGGCUGACGUGGUCUCCGAUGGAGCUGAGGAACUUACUGGGAACUGGAGCAAAGGUGACUCUUGUUAUGUUUUAGCAAAGCGACUGGCAGCAUUUUGCCCCUGCCCUAGAGAUGUGUGGAACUUUGAACUUGAGAGAGAUGAUUUAGGGUAUCUGGCAGAAGAAAUUUCUAAGCAGCAAAGCAUUCAAGAGGUGACUUGGGUGCUGUUGAAAGCAUUCAGUUUUAAAAGGAAAACAGAGGAUAGAAGUUUGAAAAAUUUGCAGCCUGGCAAUGCGAUAGAAAAUUGCAUUUUCUGAAUAGAAAUUCAAGCCAGCUGCAGAAAUUUGCAUAAGGAAGGAGGAGCCAAAUGUUAAUCCCCAAGACAAUGGGGAAAAUGUCUCCAGGCCAUGUCAGAGGCCUUCACGGCAGUCCCUCCCAUCACAGGCCCAGAAGCCUAGGAGGAAAAAGUGGUUUCAUGGGCUGGGCCCAGGGUCCCCAAGCUAUGUGCAGCCUGGGGUUUGGUCCACUGCAUCCCAGCUGCCCCAGCUGUGGCUGAAAGGGGACAAUGUAGAGCUCGGGCCCUGGCUUUAGAUGGUGCAAGCCCCAUGCCUUGUGGUGUUGAGCUUCCAUGUGGUGUUGAGCCUGCAGGUGCACAGAAGUCAAGAAUUGAGGUUUUGGAACCUCCACCUAGAUUUCAGAAGAUGUAUGGAAAUGCCUGGAUGCCCAGGCAGAAAUUUGCUGCAAGGGUGGGGCUCUCAUGGAGAACCUCUGCUAGGGCAGUGCAGAAGGGAAAUGUGGGGUCGGAUCCCCCACACAGAGUCCCUACUGGGGCACUGUCCUCCAGACCCAGAAUGGUAGAUCCACUGACAGCUUGCACUGUGUGCCUGGAAAAGCCACAGACACUCAAUGCCAGCCUAUGAAAGCAACCAGGAGGGAGACUGUACCCUGCAAAGCCACAGGGGCAGAGCUGCUCAAGACCAUGGGAACCUACCUCUUGUAUCAGCAUGACCUGGAUGUGAGACAUGGAGUCAAAGGAGAACAUUUUGGAGCUCUAAGAUUUGACUGCCCUGCUGGAUUUUGGACUUGCAUGGGGCCUGUAGCCCCUUUGUUUUGGCCAGUUUCUCCCAUUUGGAAUGGCUAUAUUUACCCAAUGCCUAUACCCCCAUUGUAUCCAGGAAGUAACUAACCUGCUUUUGAUUUUACAGGCUCAUAGGUGGAAGGGACUUGCCUUGUCUCAGAUGAGACUUUAGACUGUGGACUUUUGAGUUAAUGCUGAAAUGAGUUAAGACUUUGGGGGACUGUUAGAAAGGCAUGAUUGGUUUUGAAAUGCGAGAUCAUGAGAUUUGGGAGGGGCCAGGGGCAGAAUGAUAUGGUUUGGCUGUGUCCCCAUCCGAAUCUCAUCUUGAAUUUCUGUGUGUUGUGGGAGGGACAGGUGGGAGGUCAUUGAAUGAUGGGGGCAAGUCUUUUCUGUACUGUUCUUGUGAUAGUGAAUAAGUCUCAUGAGAUCUGAUGGUUUUAAAAAGAGGAGUUUCCCUGCUCAAGCUCUCUCUCUUUGCCUGCUGCCAUCCCUGUAAGAUGUGACUUGCUCCUCCUUGCCAUCUGCCAUGAUGUGAGGCUUCCCCAGCCACGUGGAACUGUAAGUCCAAUUAAACCUCUUUUCUUUGUAAAUU
rnacentral:lncRNA from 10 species